rnacentral:rRNA from 1 species
GUGGGGAAUAUUGCACAAUGGGGGAAACCCUGAUGCAGCGACGCCGCGUGAGUGAAGAAGUAUUUCGGUACGUAAAGCUCUAUCAGCAAGGAAGAAAAUGACGGUACUUGACUAAGAAGCCCCGGCUAACUACGUGCCAGCAGCCGCGGUAAUACGUAGGGGGCAAGCGUUAUCCGGAAUUAUUGGGCGUAAAGAGUGCGUAGGUGGUCUUGUAAGCGCGGGGUGAAAGGCAAUAGCUCAACUAUUGUAAGCCCUGCGAACUGUGAGACUUGAGUGCAGGAGAGGAAAGUGGAAUUCCUAGUGUAGCGGUGAAAUGCGUAGAGAUUAGGAGGAACACCAGUGGCGAAGGCGACUUUCUGGACUGUAACUGACACUGAGGCUCGAAAGCCAGGGGAGCGAACGGGAUUAGAAACCCUGGUAGUCC